UACAGGCGAUCCAAUUGAUGAAAUUUGCAGCUCAGAAGACUGUAACAAAUUGAGUCAGUGCUCGAAAGGGAUUAGUGUAUUAAGUAGAAUCAAGCUGUGGGAGGAAAAAUCUAUGAAAGUCUUACAAACAAAUUCGAAGUUGUCAAAAACAACUGUAAGUGAGUCCCAAGUUUCAAAAUCUACGACGUCGAAAGAAGAAAUAAAAGAUAUUUCAUUGAAGAAUUUGAAAUCUAUUGAACAAGAUGAUAGUUCCAAUAGUCAACAGUACGGAAGUUGUUCAAAAACAGAUGAGAAGAUUGAAAAUAUCCAAAGCGCGGUUGCAAACGUGAACGGAAAUAGUGAGAAAGUUAAAACAGCACAUACGACAAUUUGCGUAUCCCCGAAAAUCGCUGCCUUACAGAAAACAAUCUUAAAUAAAUUUAAUGACAACUCUUAGAUUUAACAAGAAAUUUAACCGGUAAUAUAGAAACACAAAGCACCCAAAUGGAAAACUUGUAUCAUCCCUGUGUGUGAAAGUUACAGAAGCUUGAGGAAUAUUUUAUCUAUGAUCGAAUAACACCAAAGUUCUUUGACGUGACAAAAGAUAAUGAAAUAAGAAGAAAGUUUAUAAUCAAUGAGGUGCAAAUAAUAUGUGUAUUAAUAAUAAAGUGACACAGAAGAACACUAUAAUAGAAAGCAUAAUCUGACCAACUUAAAGGUUCAAGAUGUUAUCAUCGAUUUUAUUCAACACAUUGGAGAUAGUCCUAGUAACAUUUUUGUCAUAAGUACUAAUCAACAGUGAAUGCGAUUUAAGUCUGGCUUAGAAUAUAUUUACGUGGUCAGGUCAAUAUGUUAUUAAGAUGCCCUUCAGAAUGCAAUUACACUGUGAUAUCUCUCACAUUGUUUCAAUACAAGUAACGUAUAUCUUCAUUUAUACUUCUUUACAUACGAUGAUUAAAUAUUAAAAUUUAAAAGCCAAAUGGAAUCCAAUCCAAGUUGGGCAAUGUUCUCAGCAUAUCUACACCAUUCAUGAUAAACAAAUCAAUGUAUUUAAUAUAACACCGUGAUAUCAGUAAUUACACACUCAUCUGGCGAUCGCAAAAUAAUGUUUGUAAAUAUUAUAAUGCAUAGAUGAUAGAAUAUACCUUACUUUCGGAAUCAGUUCAAAACGAAGAUGUAUAUGGUUAAGUACAUUAAUACAUUAAAUCUAUUAAUAGAAUAAUAAUAAUCUAAUCAAAAUAAUCCAAUAUACUUUACUUGGAAUACGACCUAACCUGCAGGCAUAGAUGAUGAAGUCAACCAAAAGUUCACAAUCCUAAUAAAACGAAAGUCCAUAAACUGACAUAAACUGACUGACUAGGAGAGGAGAUCAGAUUAUGACCAAUGAUAACCUUGCGAAAAACACUAAAAUCAAUAACAACAAGAGCAAAAUAGAUGACAAAGUAGUUGAAGACAUUCUCGUAGACAAUAUGUAUUGAAACAAUCCAAUAUAUGAAAAUUGAAAACAAAUUGAUACAUGUUGGAUCAUAUAAAGAAGAAUCACAUCUAAUUGUAUGAAAUGGAAGUUCUGUACGUUUUAGUGGGUUAUAGAAAUGCGGAAAACUUUAUUUAUUCACAGUUGCGUGUAUAUUUCUUUUUCUUACACUGUUUUUAAAAAAGUAUAUACUAAACAGAGCUACUACUGUACUAUAAAAAUUUUGUUAAAAAAACAACAAACACAAUAACUGAAUAAUAAAAGCCGUGAAACUACAUAA